UACGUCUCACGUGACUGGCGAAAAGCCGGGUCUGCGCUUGCGCGAUCUGUCGGCGAAAGGUGGGCAUCCACCGGGGAACGUGAGAUUUCAAAUCAACAGCCGUUCGCCUGGGCAGCCACC
rnacentral:ncRNA from 2 species